rnacentral:sRNA from 2 species
CUUGACUACAUCAAGAUCCCAGACAGACAAACUUGCCUUUGAUGUAGGUCUACGGGAACAUGCCACAGGGAAAAUGAAAAUGACAGACAUAGUCAAGAGC